rnacentral:tRNA from 1 species
GGGGCAGUGCCGGAACGGUAACGGAGCGGUCUUGAAAGCCGUCGAGCCAGAAAUGGUGCGCAGGUUCGAAUCCUGUCUGCCCCGCCA